UACGGGGGGGGGCGAGCGUUGUUCGGAAUCACUGGGCGUAAAGGGCGCGUAGGCGGCCCGCACAAGUCUGCGGUGAAAACCCCCGGCUUAACCGGGGGCCGGCCGUGGAAACUGUCGGGCUGGAGGCUGGGAGAGGGCAGCGGAAUUCCCGGUGUAGCGGUGAAAUGCGUAGAGAUCGGGAGGAACACCGGCGGCGAAGGCGGCUGCCUGGACCAGUCCUGACGCUGAGGCGCGAAAGCUAGGGGAGCGAAACAGG
rnacentral:rRNA from 1 species